CCUUCCCCUAGAGGUAUGGCAGGUGUGGCUGCUGUGUCACAUGUGUGUCAGUAGGUGGCAGAGAGAGGGUAGGCUAGGUCUGUACUCAGUGUUCUGACCUAGAGAUAUCUGAAUGCUUAGUAACCUAACAUU